rnacentral:miRNA from 1 species
CUGGGGCAAGUGGAGUACGUU